rnacentral:rRNA from 1 species
UACGGGGGGGGGCAAGCGUUGUUCGGAAUUACUGGGCGUAAAGGGCUCGUAGGUGGCCAACUAAGUCAGACGUGAAAUCCCUCAGCUUAACUGGGGAACUGCGUCCGAUACUGGAUGGCUUGGAUUUGGGAGAGGGAUGCGGAAUUCCAGGUGUAGCGGUGAAAUGCGUAGAUAUCUGGAGGAACACCGGUGGCGAAGGCGGCAUCCUGGACCAAUAUUGACGCUGAGGAGCGAAAGCCAGGGGAGCAAACGGG